GGACUUCCUCCCAGAUUAGUACCAUACCGCUUACGAGACGACGCACCAACCAGCUUAAAUAUUAGCCUGGCAGCGCCCGCGUCAGCCAAGCACGGUAGCGCGUGCCUGUCACUCCAGCUUCAGGAGGGCUAAAGAGUGGGUGGGAAGGGAUGUGUGCGUUAGAGCCCAUGUCAGAGUCAGCUCGCCGAAAGGCAUGUGGUGCCCGGCCCACCAGAGACGCCAGACGAAGCGCGGCGCAGAAGACCAGCUGUUGAUGAGAUCCUGGCCCGUCCAAGUUGGCCAAGUUGCGGUAGUUUGGGUGCAGGCACUGAGCCAGUGGUGCCAGGCUUGUGACCCGGUUUGAGGCCCGUCAGAGAUUGGGCGCUCGUUGGACCGUUGACCUGUGAGGAGGCCGGUCGUUGACGCACUUGUUGGGCCGUGAGGAGGGCAGGCCACCAGAGACUGGUGAAAGCAGUAAUGUUGGCGCGCGCUAGUCGGGCCUUAGCCGAGGAGAUUGCCGGCGGGCCGUUGUUGUGGUCGAGGUGCACAUGUGGACUCUCUGUGGGGGGUUGAUGGGCUGUCGAUUAGGGAGCAGGCUUCGGCCCCGGUAGGCCGGCAGACCCGCCGGCGGGCAAUUUAGGUUGGGGUCCGCCCCCAGCCUGGAGCCCGUAUACGCCGCGCGGGGCUUCCACGGAGUCGGGCGGGGCAAGUUGCUGCGCAUUCGAUGCGCGCUUGGUCGUUGUCGCCGCCGGGCUGUGCGCGCCACACGCGCAGCCCGCUUCGUGGAGCAUUGGCUUGCAUACUAUCCCCUCCUACCCACUCUUUUGUUUUUUUUUAUUUUUUUCCUUUUAAUGUGUCCGCAAAAUUUUUGCUUUUUAUUUUUUUUGUACUGAACGAUGCAAGCAAACAUCGUGCACGAAUCUUAAUUGUACACACGGUGCAAUAUGUAGGUGGGGAAAAAACGGAGUUUGGUGGUGGCUUGCGCGUGGACCGUGGGAGACUCAAGCCACUAUGGAUUUGGCUUUGAACUCAACUCGGGUGUCGUCAAAUGGAUAGGAGAGUGCAGCCCUGGACAGCAUGCUUACUGCAGGUCUCAGAGGAUCAAGGGCCACGCUCGCCAGUUUCCUUGCGAGGGAGUUAUUUACGCUGAUCCCUCUGUAUGUCAGUUUGGCGUCAAAGACGAGAGAAAAAACAUAAGGGCUGGACGGUAACUUUCUCGGAUUUGGCCCAUGUAAGAUUUAUGCGUGCUCCGCGGCCUGGAAAACUAAAAGGCCCAUAUACAUGUAGCCCGUUAGAUGCCAAUGGGCUCGGACUGAACGUUCAAAGGCCAGAAGCCCGUCCGAGAUAGUAGGUAAGCCUGCUUCGCGCGGUUGCGGGAAAGACUCGUCUGCUGUGCGCAGAGGCAGCAUUGUGCUACGCUGCCGACGUUCGUCUCGACUCUCGAUCUCUCGUCAUCCUUCAGGCGAUACCCGAUCAUGAUCGGCUGGUGAUUACUGAAUUAUUUUCUAAAUCCGAAUUGCAUGAGAAAGUAAAACUCGCACAACAUACUAUCGUCUAAAAGGAAAAAGUAAAAAUAGUACAACAAGGGGGCCUAGUGACACAUAAGAUGAACCAGACAGUGAACCAGCAGCCAGGUGCGAAGUGUAGGAGGACAACGCUUACAUGUAAACAGCGGCAUGCAGAAGAGGGCAGAGAAGAUAAGCAAUCACACGAAAAGAGGUCCGGUCAGUGCUCAACAAACGACGCUCCCCAUUUAGUCCCGUACUGCUAAUCACAGCCAGGACGAGCCAGCUUAAAAUGGCACGCAUCCCGAGCUGCAACCACCAGGCCCGGUGGCGCGAGCCUGUUACUCCAGCCUCGGAGGGCAAAAGAGUUUGAUGCAGCGACAAGACUCACGGCCCAGCUAUCGGUCCUGGGUUUCUGGGUUGUGAGCUCGAGCCUUAGCUCAAAGCCGUGGAGUUGUCUGACCAGGGGCCCAUUUAAAUUUGAGACGGCUUUGGCCCGGGGAGCUCGCCCAUAAAGCGAUGGGCUGGCCGAGAUUUCACUCGGCGGUCAUUGUCGACUAUCUCCCCGGGUUUCCAUACGGUGCUCACGGGAUAUUUAAAUCCUUGAUUUUAGGCCCCAUGAUGAUGAUUAUGUGUGGCUAAGGUUUAAUGGGGGCCUCCGUGUGGUUGCUAUGGGUUCGCUCAUAAACCCCUCUCAUCAACUCUUUUUUUUCCUUCUUUUAUGAUCCAUUCAUCCAUCCAGAUUUAGGGGGUGUUUGGCAGCACUCCACUCAAAAAAAAUCAUCCAUCCAGAUUUAGGGGGUGUUUGGCAGCACUCCACUCAAAAAAUUUUAUGAUCCAUUCAUCCAUCCAGAUUUAGGGGGUGUUUGGCAGCACUCCACUCAAAAAAAAUUUUAUGAUCCAUUCAUCCAUCCAGAUUUAGGGGGUGUUUGGCAGCACUCCACUCAAAAAAAAUCAUCCAUCCAGAUUUAGGGGGUGUUUGGCAGCACUCCACUCAAAAAAUUUUAUGAUCCAUUCAUCCAUCCAGAUUUAGGGGGUGUUUGGCAGCACUCCACUCAAAAAAAAUUUUAUGAUCCAUUCAUCCAUCCAGAUUUAGGGGGUGUUUGGCAGCACUCCACUCCAAAUUUUUGAGCUCCACUCCACCGACUCCAAAAAAAUACCAGAGCUGUCCACAUGUUUGGCAAAAUGCAUAGAUCCAGCUCCGGAAAUAGAAGAUCUUGAUGUGUAAAGUCCAUUAUACCCAUGUGAAUGGGUCCCACUUGUCUGUCCUUUAGUUCUCCCCUUCUUCUCCUGUGCUGGUUGGGAUCGAUUUUCUUCAUUCGAGCAGGCAGGCCGCGCAGGACCGGCGGGCGGCGCAGGGGCGGGCGGGCGGCGCGGGCCGCGGCGGGUGAGGGCGGGCGGCGCAGGGCGUGGGGCGCGGCGGGUAGGGGCGGGCGGCACGCGGCGGCGCGCGGCGGGCAGGGGCGGGCGGCGCGCGACGGGUGAGGAGCGGUGGCGGGCGGCGGCGCCGGGCGCGACGAGCGGGAGCGGCACGGCAGGCAUAGCCGGCCGGCGCGACGGGAGCCUUUUUUUUAUUUCGCGAACCGUUACGUUGUGUAACGAGUGGCAGUGGUGGGUAAAUACCCACCAACUCCACGAGGAGGUCUGUAAAGUGGAUUUUUGGAGCACCUCUUGAGGUACUCCACAAAAAACGUGGAUCUACCCCCUGCUCCACCUUUUUUCCUGGAGCCGGAGUUGCUGGAGCUAGACAUGUUUGGCUGCGAAAUUUUUGGAGUUGGUGGAGUGGAGCAAUUUUUCGUGAAGUGGAGUGCUCCCAAAUACCCCCUUAGUCGUGACUAAAAUUCAUGUCACAUCGAAUAUUCGGAGGCUAACUAGGAGGACUAAACAUGAGCUAAUUAUAAAACUAAUUAUAUAGAUGGAGACUAAUUCACGAGACGAAUCUAUUAAGCCUAAUUAAUCCAUCAUUAACACAUGUUUACUGUAGCAUCACAUUAUCAAAUCAUGAACUAAUUAGGCUUAAUAGAUUCAUCUCACAAAUUAGUCUCCAUCUGUGCAAUUAGUUUUGUAAUUAGUAUCUAAAUAUUCGAUGUGACAGGAAUUUUAGGAGGUGCUAAAUAAACAACCACUCCCUUAGGAUGAUCUCGCCACAGGUAUAUAACAAGUAAUUAGCCGUAUGUGCAUGCGUGUGCAACCUGCAGCUGCCGGGAGGUGAGUCCACGAUCAUGCGGCUCGGGAGAGAAGGAAGAACUUCAGCGCAAAAAAGAAAAGUUUGGUAAGGGUAUUUUGCGCGUGGAGAAACUCUAGAACUAGGCUUCGGCUAAUGUGUUACAUUAGCAACGACCGCUAAGGGAGAGGGAAGAUGUCAUAUUUUCUCGCUGUCAGGAGCUCCACAACACACUGAACCCUAGCUCCCCAAGCUCUGCCCUUUGGAGAUGGAGUCAUAGGGCGAGUUCCUUUUGACAGGGAGUGUGUGUUUAUGUUGGUCCUUCUGCAGUUUACUUAUCAGUUUGGCAUCAAACUAUUAAAGACUAUGUGGGUAAGGGAAACCCAGUAAACUUUCUUAGGCUUGUCUCGUUGCGCGUUCUUCGGCCCGUAAAACCCAUAAAAAAAACCUGUGUAGAUAGCUCAUUACGUGCAAUAGGUUCGAAUUGGGAGGAAUUGUACGUGGGAUCUGGGCCAUGCGCGCUCGUGCUCAUCAGUCAUCAGCAAGUCGUCGUCGUCGUCGCCACCGCCACUGCAUCGCAAGACUUCUCAGGCGUGGUUUUGUUGCAACCUUGCCGGAAAAACCUGGUUGCCUUUCUCAUGGGUCAUGGUAGUGGUGGGUACGUGUUCGUUCCUUUGUUACCCCCAACUGCAUGCAUGAACAAGUAGAAAACCACUAUUUUCGCAAAGAGGCCACCGUCUGAUAUACUACUGAACAUCGCCAUGAAAGUGGCGACCGGUCACGCUUUACAGCACGCACAAAGACCUGGCGCAAACAAGAAAAGCGAGCACAUGCAACUAAAUCCAGCUCCACUCACCCUGCAAGCCAAGUGCUCCUUUUAGUCCCAUACUGCUAAUCACUCUCAGAACAACUCGGCUUAAAGGGACACGCCUCGAGUCUACAAACGCCGGGUGCGGUCGCGCGGGCCUGUUACUCCAGUCAGCCGGAGGGCAAAAGAGUUGGUGUUGCGACAUGGUUUUGGCCCAACGGGCCGUCACCUGGGUUGUGAGUUGAGCUCUGGAUUCGGGAACGCAGCUCGUCUCGUAGACGAUGGCAGGCCGAACUCUCAAGCACCUUGUCAUUCGGGCCCGUCCCAAGCCAAGCACUUGUCGUUCGGCCGUUACAGGUUGGGUCGGAGGGAAACCUCCCCUAUCUGAGCCCAGUUUGGCGUCCCUUCCCGGUUUCCAUUCGCGCGGUCACGGGAGGCCGUAGUCCUUCCCUGAUCUUCCCAUUACGGUAAUCGGGGCUCGUAUGGUUGCCAGAGCUCGCUCACUAACCACUCUCACCAACCCUUUUUUCUCUUCUAACUUUCACUUUAAUGAAUAGCUCCAGCAAAUCACCCAUGCAAAACGAGAUUAUCUAACGGGAAAGAUGCAGUGGGAAGGAUAAAUACAAAAUACUCGUGCCUCGAUCUCAGAUGGCGAACUGUGAAAGUGCCUCGCCGGCACGGCCCAGGGUGGAGUGCCGAGCCCGCCGGUACUCGCCGUAGCUGAACGCCCUGAACCGGCGCGGGCGGCGCGCGUCCACGAGCGCCUCCGGCGCGCGCACCUCCCCGGGGCGCCAGCAGGAACAUGCCCACCGUGAAGCGCGGCGCCGCCGCCACGCACCGCACCCCGUGCCUCGCGUUGUGGAGCUCCCCGUUGCUCCACGCCUGCAGCACACGACGCGACCAAGCUCAGCACGGGACGGCCACCGGUGAGGUAUGCAGCCGGAGAGCGGAGAGAGGCUGACCGUGGCGAUGUCACCGAUGUUGACGAGGAGGGAGCCGGGGAGGGGCAGGUCGACGGGCUCGAACUCGGCGGUGUCCGGGUCGGCCACCUCGAGGCCGCCGAUGCGGUCGUCUUCCAGGAGCACGGUGAGGAAGCUGGAGUCCGUGUGCACCUGCACGCCGGGCGACCCCACGGUCUCCGCCGUGUAGUUGUACCUGUUCAUCCGGAGCUGGCACGGCCAGUCACAGAACGCCGACAACGACCCUCCUCCUCCCCGCCCACGCCGAGGCCCGCGGUCAUCUUCGCCGCGACGUCCAGGGCUAGCUCGUGCGUCUUCUCGGCGUACGCUCCGAUGGUCGCCCUGCGCGCGCACCAAUAUUAAUGGCGGCGAGGAACGCGGCGCGCUUAGUGAAAUUAAUCAAUUCCGUCACCUGAUGUGCGGCGGCGCGCCGAUGAGGUCGCAGAAGGCCUCGACGUCGGCGGGGGCGGAGGCGUCGUGCACGGCGAGGGACUCGAACAGCGGGUUCGUGGCGCUCGGGUGCACGUACCCGCUGUCCGGCGGCGCGACGUCGGCGCUGCGGCGUUUGGCGUCCACGGGGAGCUCGUGCAGCGCCCGCGCGGCGGCCUUCAUGCUGGCCUGGAGCUCGAGCGGCACGCAGCCCAGAAGCCGGGCCGCGGCCAGCAGCCGCGCGGACUCGUCCGGCCGCGCGCCGACGAGGGGCAGGUCGAACACCGGGAUCUCUAACAUCUUCGCCGAAUGUGACUUGUGAGCGAGUUCAGUUGGACCUUGCUAGCUUGUAGUUAGUUGAUACGGGUGGUUCCAUGGGAUCGUGACGAAACCGAGUAUUUUAGGAGAAAGAUGCCUGCAAAUUUUAUUGUUCGAUUCUCAUGUGUCGCAUAAUUUUGUCCAUAAUUGCACGAUUUAGAAACAAUAUGUCACACCCUCAUGUAAUACGCACGAUAAGCACCAUGAGCAAGAAUUUGGGAAAACAGAUGCGAGAGCAGUACUUCGUUAGAAUAUGCGAUUCUGACCUCACGCACUCAUGUUGUGUACUUGAGUGCACGGUAAGGGAAAAGGGACACGGCGAAGACAGGAGAACUCUCGGAAAACAAGGACAUUCAGCAAGCUAAGCUAUAGAGGGGCAGUACAAGGUUGUAUAUCACUUGUCAGUUAACAACUUAACAUGUCUAUCCAAUCUGUGCUGUGUAAAUUGCACAGCGAGGUGUACUGAUUGAUACUCAGGAGUGAGGUGUCAUCUUACUUCCUGCGGGCUCGCGGCAGGGCCUGCAGUGCUCCUGGUCAGUGUGAAGUUCAGCUUCCAAGUGUAGUUGGACCGAGAAUCUAAAUUUUAUCCUCGGCACACCUCACAACUAUUCUUUCUUGGUUUUCUUACUGCACCUUGUGAUACUAUACAAGCAAGUGGCUGCUAGCAGCACCACGGCUAUGAUAAAAGCUGCACACAAUAAAGAAAUUAUACAAAGGUACAUCGCAAAAGAUCCAUAAGACUACAAUGUAGAUUCAUAUGGUUGGAAUAAUUGGCAUGGAUACGAGUAGCAUACCAGCUAUGGUGCCAAAGAACAGCAGAGCGAGCCGGUGUCGUGUUAGCCAUGGAAGCUCUGUUUCGAGAGUACAGUGCCGUUGAAAAGCAUGUUCUUGUUUCUUGAUUGCGUGCGCACCUGAUGGCUGCAGUUCAGAUAUAGGGAACUCCACACUGUGAACAGAAUGGCCCUCAACAUCUCUUAGUUCAAGUUUUAUCCGCGGAGGUACAGCAUUCCAAUCAAUUUCAAUUGCUCCAAAAUUUGGUUGACCUGAAAAAUGCAACACCAAAUGAUUUAACAAUGUAACAAAAUCUCAACACAGCAGGAAAUAACCUAAUCUUUUUCUGGAACGUGUACAAGAGCUGCGCAUCAUUAUAUUAAGAGGGAAAUAAGGUAGCCUAGGUACUGAAAAAUAUUGGCAUUCCCUUCAGAUGCUUUAUGAUGACAUUCUACAAAUGAACUGUAUCUUUUCGAGGCUUUAAAUAAAUUUAAACCUCCGUAUCUAUUCUUUUCUUUUUUAUAGAGAAAGAAAUUGAGUAAAAUAAAACAUUAUAGCUAUCCUACAUUGUGGAUUCAUACUUCUACAGUUGAGACCAAGAAAGAGUCAUACCUGUAGUGCAUGAUUUAUACCGGCACUUAGGGCUAAAGACUCGCAUGGUAGUUGGUGUAAGUACUGCCAGAAGUCUCAUAAUAGGUUGAAAGACUGCUGGCACAGAAUUCUCAACGGACUGGGUAAGACCACUUGAAGUAACAUCAUACAAUGGAUAUUGAGCUCCACAGUCGAAUCUAGCAAUUUCUCCAAAAUGAACAUCACCACUAAUAAAUAUUACUCCGUUUCUCUGCAAAUAGUCAUGCAAUCAGCAUAUGUUUCAUAAGAGUAAUGAACAUGUAAAAAAUCAUUUUGCUGAUAUCAUGGUAUCUUGUAAAGGACUCAGAACCGAAAGGUUUAAUUGAAGAAAGAUAUGCCAGCACCUACUGCAUUUUCCUUUGCCGCAGCUAAAGGAGGAUUGUUACUUUUGGAAAGAUUGAAACCAUGAAUAAUAAUAUAAUAGCUUGCCCGCAAGAAAGUAAUAGUGACCAACCUUACUGCUGUCAAUCAAUCUGAACAGCCUCUCUCUCUCCCUUGGGAAGCGUGCCCAGGACUCCACAUAGAACAAAGGUCCAGUUGUGGCAGAAAGAUUAGAUACUACCUGUAUUGACACAUGGGGAUAAAGCAAUUACUCUAUAGUUAUACCGAUGAAAAUUUCCACUGCAUAGCAUUCCAAAAAAAUGCAAUCCGAUAUGUAACUUUUUUCUUGACCACAAGUGGAGAACCCUGUCAUUUUUAAUUUAUGGUAGAAGAGAACCAAACCCAGCCUGGAGGUACCCAGAAACUGCAUAUUAUAGUGGAAGCAUUAAGACAUAUAAAAAGCGAGAGCAAUGGAACAGUAGGAUACUCUCUGUCCAUCUAAAGAGCUGCCACCAGGUGAAAUGUCAUAUUAUUGAAAUUCUGUCACAUAAAACAAUCACAUAUACCAUCUGUUUUAUUUGGGGAGAAAAAACAGUAGCCAACCAAGCAAUAACUGAAUUUAUUAUACUAUCACUACCACAAAAACUUUCAGGACUUGUGAAAGUUUUUCAUAACUUCUGGGCAACCCAUUAGUUGGCAACUGAGCUGUUCAUCCAGAAAGCUGGGAUCCAUGGGAGUGAGAAGUUUAAUAGCUUUGGAUGUGAAAACUCGUGGUCUAUGAUUUCUAUCUGAACAUUUUUUAUCCUUGCUAGAUUUAGUUUUACAAGUCCUAAAAAAAUAUUUACUUUUAAUAUGUUUACCUGGAUAGAAGAUCCGAUGAUGGUGAUCUCUGAUUGAGGACCAUGAAGCUCCCUCUCCAGCCACUGCCAUUGAGGAUCUCCUAGAAUAGUUCCAUCACUUAAAAGUGGGUCUCUGUGAUAUCUGGUAUCCAACAAGAUUACCUGCAAUACUGUGUGGUUAUCUUUUAAUUCAAAAUUGACGAUGAAACUAAUUGGCAACAGAAGGGGAAAGCACUAGUCAUAUGUUUUAUUUAGCCCUGAUGCACGACCAUUUUAGACCUUAUACUAGCUUUACCGCCAAUAGCACUUUAUGAUACUUAAAAUGACUGCUGGGCUGAUGCUUUAUAUUGAUCGGGACAUGAAAAGGUGCAAAGUAUGUGUAGAUAACUGUGUACUAGACUUAAUUCAGGUAAAUGACAAUUUAAAUUGUAUAAAUGCUAAAUAUCCACAAAAGCCAGAUAUGAAGUCCUCAGAGUUUACACAUAAAAGAGAAGGGCAUGUUCUAUAUCACUUUAAAAUUUGAACAACAGACUCAAAAUGCAUUUACCAGAUGCAAAAGGGGAUAACACAGUAUAGCAGUGCAUCACACUGUUCAUCAAGGAAUUUUUUUAGUCUAAAAAAAGAAUUCUGUCUUUUUGCAUCCUGCAAAUGCAAUUGAGUUUCAUCUUGAAUUUUGCAUUUCUAUUCAUUAUCAAACAUACACUUCCCUUAUAUUUGAUAUUAUCUUGAGAGUCUUAGAAAACUUCUACAUCUAGUUUUCGCAGAAUUUGCAACAUUUAGCUGGUUUCACAAGAUACAUCGCCAACUUAAUAUAUAGCAUAAAAAUUGUGAUAAGGAUCAACCCUCAUCAGAUAAAUAUAGGAUGGAUUGCCUGAUCUUCAUAGUGGAGGGGAACAUCAGAAGAAGUAAUUCUUUGUCCAUCAUAUGCGAACUGGGACAAUUGAUAACUAUCUUGCAAUCAAAUUCGUGGUAGAAAGAAUUGCCAGAAAAGUACAAUGCCCUAUAUUUCAAGAAACUUCUGCAUCUAGUUUUCACAUAAAUCUGAAAAUGCAGCAAAGUAAUGACUGGAAAACAUGUCCAAAACCUGGAUUCACAUUCACAGGGUAGCAAGUUCUUAACUUCUUAUAAACUCGGACAUCAGUAACUACAAAGUACCAAUGACUGAGAUAAGUUUGCACUCAAGGAACAAACAAUGAAGCUGAAACAGAGUUACAGAUAACCAGAUAUUCCAUUUUGGGAAUAAUUUUAAUAUUAUCAUGUUCAUAUGAAAAAGAGGAGAAUAUAUCAAAGAUUGAAGGAACCACUGCAUCACUGAUACAAUUAUUUGUGAUAUAAUCCUAUUUGAACACGAAAUAGAAAAACCAUGCAAAAAUUGAACAUGACAUAAGACUACAAGCAUCGACUUUACCUUCACUCUUUUUCCUUCAGGGCCAAACAUGUAUGAGGUAUAAACACCAGCUUGUUUCCUCCUGAACAAACAAGUAUUAAAUUAUCAGGUGGGGACAUUUCUCCCCUUGCUGACCCUAAAAAAGGGAAAAUAAUAGAGUAUUUUAAGGCAUAUGUUGGUGUAUUGGCUGUAUGUACGCAGAUCCUAAAACUUAUACAGAAAUGUAUGGUCCAAGGAUAGAAGAAGAUUUGACAUACUGUGACAAUAAAUCAACAAGGAAAUAACAUUGAGAGCAACAACAACAAUAACAUUCCAGACUACCUUAAUUUCUAACAAAGAACGCAACUACAGACAAAUGAAAAAUGGAAACAGUUUAACAGAUGACCAGAAAGAAUAUAUAUGUGCUACAACUACAAAGGACGGAGGCAAAUCCAAAUCUAGUAAAUGCGGAUCAGGCCGUUAUAAGUUGAUAGGAUCCAUUUUGAGUUGAAAUACAGCGAGAAAAGUAUCUCAAUUGACUCAAAGAUUGUAUAAUGGUUAAAUCAGACUUUGUGGUCCUAGUCAUAAGAUAAUUGCUUUAAGUAUGAAUUACCCAAGUAAUGUGGUGAUGAUGAGAUUCAAUAUUUUCUGUGAAGGAUGCUUUUUGUAAUGAAGAAAUAGAAGUAGUGCUAGUGGACAUACAAGUAUGUAAAGCAGGUUACAAUUCCAUGCUUUAUUGAAAAACUACCAGUGCUCAGUCUGAAUGUAAAUUGGUUAGCGAACAAUAACUGCAUAACAAGAUAAACAUGAAGAAAUUCAAGAUCAACUCCAGUAUUUCUAAGUGCAUACCGCUUACUGUCUUCAGGUUCAUCCAAGAAAUCUAACAUAAGCCUUUGAGUAAACACUUUCCCACUAAAUUCCUUUCCUGCAUCAUUCAAUCCAUAAUCAUGGUCAUCCCAUGUUCCAAUAACCUGCAAUUAAUGAAUUCCAAUAGUGACACCAGUUUCUCAUAUCUUCUAGAAGCAGGAAGAAGCAGUGUCAAAGAUUCUUCAUAAGUUCAGAAGAUUUUUAGACUGUCCUAAAUAUUAUGGCAACUACAAUUUGGUGCCACCCUAGCCCAUAGUUGGACAUUCGAUUAUACUCCAUCCGUUCCUAAAUAUAUGACGUUUAGGACAAGGCGACAAGCUAUUAGUUAAAAAAUGGACUAGCUAGCUUGUCCUAAACGUCAUAUAUUUGAGAAUGGAUGUAGUAUGAUUCUAUCUGAAAUGCAUUAUUCACUGCUGUAAGAUAAUCAGCCCACGAGUGCAGUCAAUGGAAUUUAAACAGUAACAUUUGAUUGUUUGUCACUGUGAUGCCGACUCAAAAGAGCAGCCCCACGACUGGACUAGCACCAACAAUCAAUGCGGCGAGCAGACACUAGAAACGACCCGGAAGAGAAGCUGACCUGAGCCUUCUCCCUGAGCCUGGCGUACCCGGGCUUCGCCCUGCCGAGCUGGUACCGCCUCCGCAGCUCCUCCUCGGUGGAGGGGUAGAACCGCGGCACGUUCUUCCAGGGCCCCACGGUGCGCUCCUUCCCGAACACCCGGAACGGGCGCUUGUUGUCGCCGUAGACGUUGUCCCCGAGCCAGACGAACACCUGCGGGUCGAACCCCGCGACGGCGUCCCAAAUGGGCUGCAGGAAAAUCGCAAACGAAACAAUUCCGUCACAAUCUCAUGAUCUCAUCAUUCAUCAAAGUGAGCGAGCAAGCACGGCCAGCCGGGGUGAGCAUUCCGUCGCGCACCUGGGGCGCGCUCUGGUUGGCGCAGGAGCCGAAGGCAAUCCUGGACACCACGGCGUCGGCGGCGCGGGCGCAAGGGGCCAGGACGAGGUGGAGCAGGAGCAGGAGCGGGAAGGUGGCGGCCAUUGGGGGAUGCGCCGGGAUGGGAGAGUGCGCUCUGGCUCUGCCUCCGCUCGGUGGGCGAGGCGACGGGCGAGGAGAAAUUGCGGGAGGUGGGCAGGAGGGAGACGGGGAUAUUCCAAUUUCCAAGGCGUCGGAUCCCGGGGAAGGCAGAGGCUGGAGGUGGACGUGUGGUGGUGGGGGCGACCGGGCGAGGGCGAUGCCGGUGGCGGACGCAGGGAGGGAGGAAGAAAGCCGGAGGCCGUUUGCCCCCUUUUUUUCACUUGUUUAAUUAAUGCAGUGGAAUUCUGUGGAAAUCUAUCUACGUGCUGUGUUCCUUCUGACCAUCCACUCCUCUGUUAACCACGCUGCGUGAAGUGUGAAGCUUCUAGAGAAGAACAUAACGUGUAGGAACUUUGUAAGUCAGGUCCUUGAGUUUUGUUUGCAGAAAAGUUAAAUUCUGGCUGAAAUACUCUGAAAAUCCUAUGUAAACUUGGAGGAUCCCCGAGUUAGCAAGUCUGAGCCUGCAUAUCAAGUCAAAGUCAUUGAUCUUACUGGGGAGAAAACAACAGCAUAUUUGGCCAUGAGCAGUUAGAACAAGGAAAAUAUGAUCAUGGCGAUCAUCUCUAGCUGGGAAAGAUGUCAACAAAGCCGCAACAUUUCUGGCUUUGCACUUUUGCAGGGAUGGGGGCUAGCCUAAAAGGCGUGAUCCGGGGUGAAAAAAGCUGCGAACUUGCCGUGCCUAACUUCUUUUUUGCCUUUUGCUUGGGAUCAAGCAACUUCGCUGCAAACAGCAGAAGGCAUCACGUUGUCGCUAAAGCUCAAGGCUUCCAUUCAGAGCUGGAAUAUUUCUAGAACUGUGGCUUACUGGCUUGUGAGAAUCACCGAUAGUCUAAACUAGCUUGUAAGCAUUUUUCGCCCAUUUGCAUUGAGCAUCUGAAGCAAUGGAACCAAGUGAUCACAAAUCUAAUCAAAACCUUCUCCAGCCUCCAGCUAUGCAGCAACGCUAGAAGAACCUGUUCUAUGCAGCAACGCCAGAAGAACCUGUUCUCCAACAAUUGUUUAUGGGCUCAUGGCCUAAAUAGCCCACUCUGCCAUUGCUUAAAGGGCCAGCACUCCAAUAGCUUCAGUACAAAGCAAGUGAUCACACCUAGGGACUCACUGUACUCCAUACUCUUAUCAGCACUGCAAAACCAAUUCGAGGCAUCUGAUUCCAGCAAAUGGUAAGCAAGGAAAUGAUGUGUUCUAACAAAGCAGGCUUCAGCAACCCACCAAAAGUACACAUACAUUCAGAUUACGUCAGGGUGCCAAACUGCAAACUAGAUACAGCUAAAAUUGGUACAUGCCGUCAGGAACUCAACGCAUGGUCAACGAAGUACCUACAUCUAGAUUUCAACAACAAACUACAAGCCAGCGUGUUCAUCAGUUUAUGUUUCCCCAGAUAGCUUGCCCCGAGGUCCCCUUGUUGCUUGGCCUUGCAGUCAGUUCAUAUAGGAUCCGAGCAAAGGUGUCCGAGUAUUUCCCUUCUGUCGUCAGGAUCUCAGCAAAAGUGUUCUCAUGCACAAGGAGGUGCAUCCUGUUUUGAGGCUCGGAGACGAGGCUCUCCAGUAUCAUUGACGUCUUCCUGCAGACCUCAGGCACAGGAUGCGGCGUCUUCACAAUCUUUAGAAGUCUGUCGACAGCCCUGGUUCAAUUCACAUUGAAAUGACAAAAAAAUUCUGAUUGUUAAUGCCACUUCCUGUAUUAGUUUGCUCUCUCUAAUUGUGUGAAGCAGAUGUUUACCAUCGCUCACUGGCAAGCUUUAGCCUGCAAUCCAUAUUCACUUCAGCUACAUUGUAGAGUGCGCUAACAGCAGCAGCCUGUGCAUCAUAUGCUGGCAUACUCAAGAGGUCAACUAGCCGUUUGUAUAUCUGUAUCAAGCAGCACGAUGUAAGUAUGACAACUAAACAGCCGAGAAACAGAUAGCUUUAUUCAAAUGCAGCAUAGACAAUAUAACACCAAACUAUUACCAAAUGAAACAGUGAGCUAAACAGCAGUAUUUACCUGUGGAAUGACAGGGAGAAGAAAUGACUCAUUAUCUGGAUUUAUUAUCAGACGCCCAAUCAGUUCAGCAGCGGCACAGUGCCACGGCUUAACUGAAGAUGAAAGCAUACCCAUUAUGGCAUGAACUGCACCUUUUUCACUGUCUUGGCAAAAAAGCAGCAAAUGAGUUAACUUCAAUAUAGAAAAUAAAAGGAGAGAGGAUAAUACAGCUUCAGAGUUAUGUCUCACGUCAUUUUAAUGAAUGAUGGCUUCGAUGAGCUGAAGAUUCUCAAGUCCAACACAGGUGCUAAAUUGACAAGGGUUUCCAGCAUGUUUGUUACGAGUUCAUCAUCUUCUGCUCAAUGACAACAAAUCAGCAGAGCAUUAGUUCACAUUAAGUCUGUUGGAAAAAGAGCUGGAUUUAAAUUGCCAUGACAUGAAACAGUCCCAGGAGCUCAUUAAAGUUACAACAGACAUUCAAUACACAUAAACAAAAAAGCUCUCACUUCCUUAUUUUGCAGUGUAAGACCAAAUAUAUAAAUAGUCAGUUUUUGGGUUGAGUUUGUGGAGAGCUAAUGAUAGCUUGGUUGGUAGAGCCUCUAGUUGAGAAGCAGUUCACUAGGCUUGAACCCAGGUGUUCGCAGGCCAUGUGAGUACCUCCCUAAAGCAUUCGCUACUCACCCUCCAUCCCCACCCACAAAACACACACGUAAGACGAAGUCAAGCGGAUGUCUCCACCCGUGGGUUUUCAUAUGCAGGUAAUGACAAAACGUAAAACACAACAAACUUGAAUAGCCAAACACUAAUAUUGACAUAGACACAUUUAAUCUAAUAAAAGAAUACUAGAUUGAUGGACUGCAAAAAAAAGAGUAGAAGAUAAAUGCAUGUAACUGAAGACAAGACACAGGGCAAUAUUUCAAGCUUUACCUCUAUUCUGGUCUUCUAAGCACUGAAAUACAGUCUCCAAGCAAUGCCUAUGUUGAACCAUGAUAGUCUCAUUUUCUGGCAUAAAAGAGAAAUUACGGAUUAUAUUGGAGACUGCUAUAGCGCACUGCUGCCUUUCUGCCCUCCCUUCAUCAUCAUUGUUAAACAAGCCAUCCUCAUCAAACCAAAAGCUUGCAGAGCGCUUCUUCGUGACACUGGACUCCUCGGUCUUUGAUUGAUCAUUAGAGGUACUGUAAUUAGUACAAUUAAAAGAACAUAAGAAUAGGCAGCAACAGCCAUGGAUACUGAGAUACGCUAUCAGGAUCUUGGUAAGAUUAGUAACAACAUACGUGCCAGUGUCAGAGUAGACUUUUUCCAUGUUCUCUUGACCAAAGCCAGAGAGCGUUGUGUUGGCACCCAAAGUUCUUACUCUGGGUGGUUUGAGAUGGUCCUUAGGCAUUGCAAUAUCUCUCCAUUCAUCAAUCUGUACGAGAUAUCAAAGCAUAAGACACAAUGCAAAAAACAAAACGAGUAGCUUCUUUUGGAAGAAAUUGACAGACACAUCAGUACAUUGCUUUGCAGAUUUUAGAAGUUAAUUUGGUGUAAGAACCAUAUAAAUUAGAUGAGAUGAGUCUAACCUACUCCCUCUCAUUUUCCACAUGGAUGACGUCGCUGCCACAUGGCAAAAGUUAAUGAUGCCACUGCCACAUCACCAAAAACCACCCACAAAUCCUCCUAGGACAUGGUUUGCAUCUGUUUUUAUCUGAUUCUGGAAAUAAAAAAGGGUUCACCCUUAUGGGGUAUGGGAAAGAGAAUUCUGGGCAGAUUUACCCUUGCUUCUUUGGCAACAUGUGGAUAAAAUAUAAAAGGAGAGAAGGAUUGGGGAACCAAAAUUAGACGACUUUUUCCCUUUGUUUUAUGGCUACAAACCUAUAUGGACAAUGAUGCCAGAUCCCACAAACACCAUUACCCUUUCCUUCAGUGUUUAUAUUAAAGGGCAAUGCUAGCUUGACUAAAUCUAGUUCAAAUGCAUUUUUAUGCAAAUACAAUUAGCACUGAUUAGCAGACAGAAUCAUAAUUGCUAUACAAUUUCAAAUAAAAUGUAAAUUGCAUGAUUUAGUAAGAGAUGAAUCAAACUAGAAAGAUGAAAAGGGAAUUCAGGACAUACAACUUGAAGAAGAGCAUCUAAGAGCCCAGGAACUUUAGCAAGAGGUGUUGUAUCACGUCGGAAGUCAUCCUUCUCCUUAAAUGAGAGCACUGUAAGGGCAUUCAGUGCCCACAGUAUCUCUGAUUUCAACCCACUUUGCAAUGCAAGGACAAUUCUUUUGUUAUUCUGAUCUGAGAAAAGCCAAAAGAGAAAAAUAAGUGUCCUGCCAAAUGGUCGAUGCUGGUAACCGUUAUUAGAAAAUGAUUACUUGUGCAGUUCAAGCUCAUGACAAAGAACGUGAGGCAUCACCUCUAACGAACAGGACAAAACAAGAGUAAAAUGAUAGAGAGCAGGAACACAAAAUAAGGUAAGCAUAACUGUGCCAUGCCAUUGUUUGUCAGCUGUAUAAAGUAACUGUUUCCAAGCUUGGGAAAUGAAAAGACAUGUACACGCUUUAUAAACCUAUAUGUAGUUAUAUGCACUCUCAAGGAAGGACAUGUGCACAUACGUGAACAUUUCUAAGCCCAAAUUCUUAUCAUCACAUAGAAAGGUUUGCAGUCAAUUCUACUAGGUAUUCAUGUGACAGGAAGAAUUACAACUAAGUUGACCAGCAACAACAAUCCAAACUGGAAGUGAGGCGUAUUACAGUUUACCCUAAACAUUUUCAAGAAUAAAAAAGAAGAGGAGGCAAGCAUCAGGUUCUUGAUACUUCUUUGACCUUCAAAGAACUGAAAAACAAAGUCUCUGUCUAAAUUGGAUACUCAGGUUAGCCUCAAAGUUGUCCAGAACUCUAUAGCCUCAUCCAAGCCAGAAUUAUGUGUCUAAGCAAGACGUGCAGCAGAGGUCUGAAAGAAACCGUGCUAGUUAGUGUUCUAUGGCAUCACACAGUUUUCAUAAAGAGUCUGUUUGUGAUGUCAAACCUUUUCCAUUGUAUGUAAACUCUGCUACUUAACACGAUGGCUUCAAGAAUGUUAAGCUAAAUCAUCUGCACUGCAAAUGUUAUAUAACCAUGAUGACUAUUUUUCUCCCAACAUUUAUUUGACAAUCAACACUACAAAUAUGCAUACCCGUAAUACUCUGCAGCAACAUUUUUGCUUCAGAAGAUAACCAAACCAACGGCAACAAACUAAUCCAAAAUGUCUCCAUAAAAUGAGCACUCCGAUGGCAAAAACUUGGACCUCUAAGGCCUUAUUUAUACCCCUUAUGUCAGUGUCAAGCACGUAAUUACACAGAUCUUAGGAGGCAGUAAAAAGAGAGGCAUAUUUCACAGUCUAACGCCCAUAAUUUUCGUCCAACAAAUCGACCCCAAAUUCAUAGGACCAACACCCGAGUUAUUCCCCCCUCAUGCCCCAGAGUCGCACAUAAGCUGAGUUGAACUGGGAGAGGAGACGAAUGAGCGGGUUACCUGAGAGGGCCGAGAGUACUUGGAGGGACGGCCCGACCAGCGCGGCGGGCGCCCCCGGGUCGCCGACAGCAGCCGCCGCGGCUGCGGCCGCGGCUCCGCUGCCGGUGGUGCUCCCGAAGGGGCGGCCGCGCUUCGCCGGCGUGCCGCCGCCGCUCCCGCCGGACUUGCCCGUCUGCUUCUGCAUGGCUAGGGUUUUGGAGCUCGGAGCUUCGAGGGCGGAGCGACGGAGAACGGCGCGUGCUCGGAGCUCGGAAUUGGGGUGGGCACCGUGUCGAAGCGGACAAGGCGAUCCGCGGGAUUACUCGGACGGUGGAGAUUGAGCGGUAUACGCCUCCCACGGCCAAGUGAUACAUGCCGUUCUCUUGCGCUAGACAGGUGGGUCAAGACUAUAGCCCACGACAUAGUUUGAGUUUCGAGGUUUUAAACUAAGCGUGUCUCUGACAGCAUAACGUUGUGAACAGUUAACCAAACGGAAAUGCUAUGCAUCCGACAUCUUACCCAUCUGUCCGGAUGCACCAUCCACUGUCCGCCAGAUCCGAUAGCUUAGCUCGCUUCACUCACAUUUCUCCCCCCACUCCUCCUCCCGCACGCCACCCUCCCGUCCAUUUGCCCCUUCCCUUCUCUCGCUUUCACCUAGUACCUGAUGCUUUCACCCAAUACCCGACGCGCCCCUGCGGUGGCGAUGCGGACGCCGCGGCCGGCGGGAAGGAUGCCGGCAGAGGGCAGCGCUGGCGAGCCAAGCGACGAGGAGGAUCAUGGUGUCUCCUCACGCCCGCACGCACACCGCCCGCGCCCGGCCAGUCGUGAUAUGGACGCCACGACGGCCCCAGCGGACCACCCCGAGGCGAUUCGGUCCCGCGAUGCUAUUCAGGCCAAGGAGAACAAGUGUGCGAGGCUAACCAGUGAGUUCAUCAUGCCCGACAUCUUUCUUCGCUAAUUUGUGCGGAUUUGGGUUGGGAUUUCUUUCCAUUUAGGGUUUAGGGUUCGGUUUUGUCCGAUUUUUAGGGUUCGGUUUGCAAUGUUUCAUCCACUAGUACUGUUUAUGUUGCAAAAUUUCAGGAGCAAUCAAACUUAGCAUUGUACUUGAGCAAUCAAACUUUCCAUGCUAGCAUUUUUGCUGUGCUCGGGUGUGGUUUAUGUGUUGCUCAGGUGAUGAGACUGAAGUUACGUCACAUUUCUUCAGUUUCCAUUGGCAGAGCAACGAGACAACAUAACAGUUAUUGUGAAUUUGAUAUAUCUGCAGGGUGUCACAUGAGUUGAGAUAUCGGGUACAUUCCUAGGAAAUCUAAUUGUCUCAAUUCUUUUGUAGUGCUCUAGUUGAAUUGUCAAGAACCAGUGUUUUGCUGAUGUGCAAUGUUUGUAUUCGAAAUAGUGUUACUAGCAGAAUGAAGAGGUAGACCUGAAAUGUCUAUUACUCCUUUCUGUUUGUUGGUUAGUUACUUGUUUCGUGGAGGUGAUACUGUGUACGUGGUCCUUCAAAUCUUAAGCCUAAAUAAAACACAAGCGUUUAUGCGUGAGGAAACAAAAACUAUCUAUCAAGCUGCCUUUUCCACUUAGGCCUUGUUUAGUUGCCUAACUUUGAAGAUGCAAAAUCACUGUUAUAGCAAUGUAGCACACUGUAGCGUUUCGUUUGUAUUUGUGAAUUAUUGUCCAAAUAUUGACUAAUUAGGCUCAAAAGAUUCGUCUCGCAAAGUACAACAAAACUGUGCAAUUAGUUUUUGAUUUCUCUACAUUUAGUACUUCAUGCAUGUACCGCAAGUUUGAUGUGAUGGGGAAUCUUCUUUUUGCAUAGUGUCAAAGUUGGGAGUUGGGGGGCCUUAACAAUGAGCAACUCUCGAGUACUUUUCACAGUAAAAAUGCACCUGUACUGUUUAUGUUGCAAAAUUUCAUGUUUCAACCAUCCAUGCUGUCUUUUUCAACACAUAUGUUUCACAAAGUCCCCGCUGAGAUGAGCCAUUCCACGGAGCGGGAGCCCAAAAAUGUGGCUCCCCGCGGCUUCCUCCCUGUUUUUGCCAUCCCUAUACUCGGGAGGGGCAGGGCGCAGGCGGAGCGAGGACGGCGCCGGGCAGCCAGCAGUGGGAGGCAGGGACAUCGCCAAGCAGCCAGCAGCGGGGACGAGGAAGGACGGUGGCGGGAGUGCGGUGGAGAUGCAGCACGGUGGGGGCGGUGGGAGUGCGGUGAGAUGCAGCAUGGCGGGGGAGCAGCAGGGCGGCAGCAAAUACGAUCCCUGCGCAGGGGCAGGGCCUGCAGGCGGAGCGAGGACGGCGCCGGGCAGCCAACAGUGGGAGGCAGGGACAUCGCCAAGCAGCCAGCAGCGGGGACGAGGAAGGACGGCGGCGGGAGUGCGGUGGAGAUGCAGCACGGCGGGGGCGGUGGGAGUGCGGUGAGAUGCAGCAUGGCGGGGGAGCAGCAGGGCGGCAGCAAAUACGAUCCCUGCGCGGGGGCUAAAGUGGAGUAGCGGUGGCGGCCGCCAUGAGCGCGUGGUCUGCCGGCCCGGCUGGCACGCGGCCUGCCCUCCACACCUCAGCUGCUGGCGUAGCAGAAACAAAUAGCAGCCCAGCAGAAGCAAGCAGCACCAGAGACGCCGGAGGCCUGGGCAUCAACGGCGGAGGUUGAAAAGACGGGAAGGAAGGGAACGCCGAACAGAUAAGGUCCAAGGAGGAACGAAUGACUGGUAGAAAAGAGAGAAAAACAAAAAAGAAAAAGGCGUGUAAAAAAAGAGAGAAGGAUCGGAUAAUAAGUGAAGGGGUAAGAAGGAAAAAGAAAAAUAUAGCAAGGGUAUCAUUAGUAUAUAAUAAUAUAAUGAUUGGCUAAUAUAUAAUUCUCCUCAUUAAUAUUUUUAUCAUACAAAACUCAAAUUAUAAACAAGAGAGAAAUCAUGGCAUAUUGUGCAUUUGACAUAUUUCAUCCAUUCAUGAGAAACAAAAGAAGCUAUUUUACUAAACGUUUUUCAAAACGACUUUAGCUCUAUCAGAGAAGCUGCAUGUGUAGGCCUGGAGCCAUGGAGCCAUGAACAUAUGCAUACGUCACAAUUUACAAGCAGUGCACGUAAGCACGUCAUAAUUUACAAGCCAGGCCACGGAGCUAGAGACAUUCUUCGGCCCCGUUUUCUUCCACUGACUUAUUUUUAGCACCCGUCACAUCGAAUGUUUAGAUACUAAUUAGGAGUAUUAUUAAGAUUUGCUUGAAGUACCUUCACUUGCUCUUCGGCUUCUACCACUAGAUCAAGACCAUAGGUUUGUCUUUCUCCAGUUUGUGACCAAUUUAAUGGUGUCCGACAUUUCCGGCCAUAUAGGACUUCAAACGGUGCCAUCUUCAAACUGGCUUGGUAGCUAUUGUUGUAAUAGAACUCCGCCAAUGGCAGGCACUUGUCCCAAUUUUUGUCAUAGUGGAUGACACAAGCUCUCAACAUGUCUUCAAGGAUCUGAUUGACUCUUUUGGGUUUGACCAUCGGUUUGAGGAUGAUAGGUUGAGCUACGGAUGAGUUUGGUGACCAUGGAUGCUUGUAGCUGUUCCCAAAAGCGUGCUACAAACUGAACUCCUCGAUCAGAGAUGAUGGUCUUAGGCACACCGUGUAGGGAAACAAUGCUGUCAGAUNNNNNNNNNNNNNNNNNNNNNNNNNNNNNNNNNNNNNNNNNNNNNNNNNNNNNNNNNNNNNNNNNNNNNNNNNNNNNNNNNNNNNNNNNNNNNNNNNNNNAGGAGCUGCCUAUGAGUUGCUACCCUUAAACAUCUGUAAAUAAUGGGCUUAACUAGGGCGUAAUUAGGCUCAAUAGAUUCGUCUCGCCGCUUAGAUCCAUCUUAUGUCAUCCUUUUUUAAAUCGUCUACGUUUAAUACUCCUAAUUAGUAUCUAAACAUUCGAUGUGACACGUGCUAAAAAUAAGUCAGUGGAAGAAAACGCCCCCGAAUAUUACUUAGGAGUUUAGGACUUGGGAGUGGCGAAAAUGGAAGAAACAACAUUAGCCCAACGUAAUCCACAAAUCUGCCGGGUCACCGUCAAAGCCCCGCAUCUGGCCCUGCAGAAACUUCAGAAAAUUGGAAAGAGAUUUGUAAAUAAGUUAGUCAAAGGAGAUUUUAAGAGCGUGCCUUUCUUUUAUCUGAUAAUGUGUACUAUCAUACCGUCACUUUGGGAAAAAAAAUUCUAAACAAAACGAUUCUUUUGGAUGAUUAAAUAGCUAACAUCCAUUAAAACAGCAGUGUUUCAGUGUUCCGUCUAAAAUGAAUUUAUAAUAUGUAUGGCAGUACAAGUAAAUGAAUAAUUGCAGUUAUGGGAAGCUAGUGUUUUGAUAUCUAUCUGGUCCGGAAUUUUCUAGAACACAACCAAGCAUAUAUGUGCGCAUAGCCACAUUGUACCGACUGCCCCCAAUUGGCAUCACAGUGGAGCUAGAAAAUUUUCAAGUGCUAGAGGUAAACUGAUGAAUUAGCUCUCACCUUUGUUUUUUAUAGCACGCAGAUCAACUAGGUGGCGCAUCGUUGGCCUCCCAUGUGGGCAGUUCCAUGGGGACCUUAAUCCUGUUAGAUUUUUAAGUAUCUGAAGUACAAAAGUAAAAGGGGCAUGUUACUGAGUAUUUUAAAUGAAUGCUUAUCUUUGUCUAAAAAAGGAACGCCUAUCUUUCAAUGAGCAGUGACACUAUGGGGGAAGGCAUUGCAUAUACUUCUGCAAAGACAGAAAUGGCGUCCAAAGACCCUAGAAGUUCCAUCUGAAUCUAACUGAAUUUGUAAUUACCUUUCUCAUCUCGGCUUUUGUCAGUGGAUCGCCAAUCAUAAUAGACAUUCGGCAAGCCCUUGAAGCCAACAUAGCACGAACCCUCGAAGGGCAAACAGAAUCAGUUUUAUCCAGCUUGUAGCUACUGAUUAUCGAACAGUCUCCUUGACUAUCAGCAAGCAUGGAGAUCAGCUCCUUUACAUCUAAUCAAGGAAAAUUAGAAUAAGACCAUGUUUGACAUGAGCAAAAGAAACCAAAAUUUCUGACAUAUGAUAAGAAAUAAUACCUUGAACACCAAAUGUAAUAUUUUUGCUGAAAGGCACCGCUUUCAAAAGAUAAUGGUUACCAGGGGAAGCAUGCAAAUCUUCUUCCAAAACAAAGCCAUUUGUUCUGAAAGUUGAGAAAAUGGAAGAAAACAGGUGAGGUAGCACGAAUUUGCUCAGUAUCAGUAAGAGCUGUCAUCAUGGCAUGUUUCAUCAAUUGGUGCCAGAGAGGAAAAGAACUUGAUGAUUCAAGACCACGUUGGCAUAAUUGCACAUUUUAUCAGGCAUAAUUGAUAUUUUCAACAUUAAAUAGAGAGCAAAACUUUUUGGAAGGAAAAAACACAAGGAACUGAUAUAUGAAGAGCGUGACUACAUGAGUUAUUCAUAUGACUUGCAGGCUAUAAAAGCUGCCUAGUUCCACCUAGGUCGGUAUAGCUUAUUUUUUCAUGAUGUACAAGACUUUUUCGCAACAGGAAUGUGGAGCAUACAAUGUAUUUGUUUUUUUAAUAAAUAGAUAACACUAGAGUAAGUAUAGAUAACAAAUGGAUAACACAAGCUGUGAAUAUGGCCAUCAGAGUUUUUUUUCCUUUGUUAGGGGGCGCCAACAAUGAUAAUUUUUCUUCAAAAAAUUCAGUGCAAAAAUUCAAGUCGGGGGGGGGGGGGGGGGGAAUGUUCAAAACAAAAUAGUAGUGGGUGUUGUUUGAGCAAGCAAAUGUUAAUUGUUUAGAUGCAACAAACAUCUGGUCACAUAAGCAACUGAAUAUUACAGCAUCAAAAAUGCAUAUUCAUCAUUAAGUCGUUCUAUCCUAGAAUCGAAUGGCCAAAUUGAAGUAGUAAGACAAUGAAUACCUGAUAGUGUUCAUGUUCAUAGAAACUAUUACUUCUUCCUCCGGUGAUAGAUCAAGCCUCAGUGGCCUGCAUUUGAAUAUAAUCACAAAUACCCAACAGAAAGAGGUAUAUCGCAAAUGGCACACAUAAAUACAAUGCUACAAAUUAUGGAUCCAUACUUGGAAACACUCAAACAUCACAGAGUUAUGAGCNNNNNNNNNNNNNNNNNNNNNNNNNNNNNNNNNNNNNNNNNNNNNNNNNNNNNNNNNNNNNNNNNNNNNNNNNNNNNNNNNNNNNNNNNNNNNNNNNNNNGAAAUGGUAAUGCAAAUCCGGAUGAUAAUGUAAGUUGUUUGUGAUGACACCAAAAAUGUUACCUUGUAGCUUUCUCAAGACAAUUUGCUUUAUUUGCACGCGAUGUCAUAAAACCAUUCUUUCUUCUUCUCCUAAGAUCAGCAACAGUAAAUUGCACAAUGGGAUAUUGUACAGAUGCAGAAUAUACUGCAGCAUCAUUAUCAGAAUCAUGAGCAUCAGGCAAAGGACUAUCCUUCAAUGUAUUCAGAUGUUCCACUUCUGAAUGUUUAUUGGGAGCACCAGAAAUCGAAAGACAUCGAUCAUGCUGUUCCUCCUGCAAGGAUUCCAGCAGUUAAUCCCGUGAGUGAUGGAAACAAAAGCUUUUUUUCGGUUUGAGUUAAACUCAUACUGAACCACAGGUAGCUAACGAAAGAAAUUAUUCCAGAAGCAAUGUCUAUUGUUUUAAACUAAAACUAAUAGCAAAAAUACCAAAAUUAGAUUGAUAAUUCACAAAUUAGAACAAUGUAAUCUUGCAAGAAAAUAAAAUAGAAAAUAGAAAUCCAUCAUGAACUCUUAGAUUUAGGAGCAGCAGGCAAAGCAUUUAACAGGAGUGUUAAGAAUAACAAGUGAGCAAGCAGCAUAAGAACAUGGACAAAACAAGCUAAGGUAUUGGCAGCAGUUCAAUCUCCACCAGAAUAUAAUGGAAAGGGCUGCAUAUCUGACUGUAAACAGUUUGCUUACCACAUCAGGUUCUGGAGUGAGAACAUCACAUGGACUUAAUACUUUCGCACCACAGAUCACAGUAUUAGGCGGUUCAGAAUGCUGUGGUGAAACAUCUGCCCUCACAGAUACAAAAGAUCGUGGGGAUUGCUGUUUUAAAGAGUUUGUUUCCAGAGGCAAAUUGAACUCAGGAAUAUUAGAUGUCCUUGAGCUUAAUGCAGCUGGUGGAUUUGCAUCUAAACUUGUUCUCCUCACUUGUUCUGAGCCUACCCCACUUCUCAACACUGGAGUUUCAGAGAUAAGAUUGCAAUUAUCUUCGUGCUUCUGCUUAUUUGGUGAAACAAAGUUUCCUUCCAAACUUGUUCUCCUCACCUGUUCUGAGCAUGCCCCUAUUCUCAGCACUGGAGCUUCAGAAAUAAGACUGCAAUCAUCUGUAUAGUCCGGCUUGUUUGGCAAUAUAAAAUUUGCUUCCAAACUUGUUCUCCUCACUUGUUCUAAGCAUGGCCCUCUUCUCAACACUGGAGCUUCAGAAAUAAGAUUACAAUCGUCUUCGUGCUUCCGCUUGUUUAGUGAUACAUAGUUCAUAAGAGAAGAUUGAACAGUAGGUGAAUGGGUAGAUUUUGCAGCAAGCCCUGUUCUGAAAUGAUUUGCUCCCGGUGCACAACCUUUUCCUUCUUUAGGAAAUCUUUUAGGUUGUUCAUAUGAGAAGGAUGGAAGCCAGGCAGAUCUAUCAGCCUGAGUGGCUGUGCCUCUUGACAAGGGGCUCACUUCUCUAGAUGUGGCAUCAAUGGCUACCUUUGUCACUGAAGAAGGCUUUUUCUUGUUCUCUGGUGAAACCUGAUCCUCGCUGUCUGUUUCUUCCUUGUCAUCACUAUUGUCCGGAGAUGAAACAUUCUCUACUUCUAUCAAAUCUGUGUCUUCACUAUGCCCAUCAGUAACAGUAUCCUCUUCCUUUUCAGGAUCUUCAACACGAUUGACUGAGAAACUACAUUGUUGAGGGGAAUACAGAUUUUCAACAGCUUCACGUAAAGACCGCAGAAUUAUACUCUCAGAUGAGAAGAAAAUCUUUCUCUUGUCAGGUGCGACAUUCACAUCAUAGGAUGUGGUUGGAAUACGGAAAUCCAGGAGAGCCACAGGAUAUUGCUUGGCAUUCGAGCUUCUGUACAGCUCAUUGACAAGUUUUGUGACCUUUGGCAUAUCAACAGGUCUGCUGUUCACAUAGAAGAAUUGUCUAUCUCCUGAAUUGCGACCAGUACCAGGUCCAGGUUUUGAGAGAAAGCCUUCUACUUGGCAGCCAUCUGAGAUGGUAACACUGAAGGGCUCAAGAGACUUGAAAGUGUUCAGACCAAAUACGGUAAUGAUAUUGUCUUUCAUUGAACUGCUGCCUUGAGUUCUAAGCACCACCAUUUUAGAAUUUUUGCCAACAGUAUUAGUGCAAAGUAAUCUGACCCCUUUGGCAAUCAAGGCAUAAGCCUAGCACAAGUAAGAUGCAACAAUUAGUAAUAGAGGGUAAAUAGACAAUCAGACAAUAAAACCUAAGCAAUAAUCUGAACAGAACAUGCCUACUACAGGAAGGAAAUAAGUAGAGAUGUGUGACAAUAAAUUGUUGAAGGGGAACAGUUACCCUCAACAUUUGAUAGCCACACACAAAACAUGCAAAGCAAAGCAAUCUUAGGAACUGAAACAGACAACUCACAUUCAGCAGGGAGAUCACUUUCCCAUACUCUUUCCGAAUGUUCCUGUUAAACUCCUUGCUCCUGACCGGCAAGGUGGAGAACAACUUCUCGACUGUCACCGUGGUCCCAACCUGCCGUGCGGUCUUCCUCUCGCUGGCCACCACGCCCGAGUGCUCAAACUCCAAACGCGUCCCAACGGACUCAUCCUUGGUCCUCGUCUCAACCGUCAGUUUCCCCAGCGCGCAGAGCGAGCUCAGCGCUUCACCCCGGAAUCCGAAGGUGACCACGGAUCCGAGGUCGGAGAAAUCUGAUAUCUUGGAGGUGUGGUGCUUAAGAGCAAGCGCCUAUUGAAGUGGCCGCGGCAUGAUUAGCGAGGGGCAAUUCGUGGCAAUGCCUAAUAGCAGGGAAAUGGGGGGAAGGGGAACUGAUGGCUCCUUGUAUUGGGGACAGAUGCCUCACCUGGAAGUUGGCGGGCGAGAUGCCGUAGCCGUUGUCGGCGACCUUGAACCACUCCGCGCCGUAGGCCUUGAGGCUGACCUCGACGGAGGUGGCGCCGGCGUCGAGGCUGUUCUCGACGAGCUCCUUGACGGCGGAGGAGAGGUCGAAGAUGACCUGGCCGGAGCAGAUGCGGUGCACCACCGCCUUGCUUAUCGGCUUGAUCGCCGGCGAGGAGCCGCCGCGCCCGUCUCCUCCUCCAGCUCCAGCCAUUCCUCCUUAAACCCUACGCCUCCCGGUGGAGAGGACGGGGUUUCCGGCUUCUGCUUCCUCUAAUCCUCUGGAACCCGCGCUCCUGGCUAUGCAACCGGCAAGCGAUUGAUUUCGCAGGCUCGCCGCAGUCGCAGCACGAGUGGCGGCGGCGAGACGCAUAUGCGUUGGGCCUUCAGUGGGCUUGGCCCAGAUAGAGAAUGAAACUCGAGAAAAAUGGGCCUUUUGUUAAAAGAAGUUUAGGCCCAUGCUUUUCUCUUUUUCCUAAAGAAAUUUAGGUCCAUUUUUUUGUAUGACCCAAUCCAAAUAUUGCCUAUGAUCAGGUAUAAUUUUCUCUGAGCUUCUUGUUGUCUCCAUGCUUCGUCAUGCUACCUUAUCCUGCAUACUUGAUUUUAUAAUUGCCGAGAUGAAACUACAAAUUCAUUUUGAAACUUCUGAGCCAGCUUCAUAAUAAACACAGCCGGCAAUAGCUAAUAAUUAGAAAAAAAAAAUCUGUGUGUAUACACAUAAAGUGUUUUGGUCUUUUGGGGCAUUAUUGUUAGGUUCGGGUUGAACUGAAUUCGCUUAGGAAAAAAAAUAAAACUCCAGCGCAGACUCAAGUGAAAAUGUUGCAACCUCGCGCAACCAAGAAUUAAGCACGGCUUUGUCCAUAACCAGGCCAGGUCACCCCCAAAACCACCCUCCCGCCCACCGGAUUAUGGCGCACCGGUGGCCGGUCAAAGCAAGCAGCCGGACAACACAAGCCCAAGUUGGCCGCGACUGCGUCCAAAGAACGUGACGAAUCCGCAACAGAACCAUGCGUUCUCCGUUCCGAGUCACCAUCAACUCAAUUAAAAAGAAAAAGAAAACGUGACGAUUCCGAAGAAGCGAGGAGGCGCCUCGCCGCGGCGCCACCCAUCACCCAGCCUGCCGCGCGGCGCGUUUCAGCCCGCGUGAGCUGGUUGGAUGCACCUGCGUGGAGGUGCGGGUGGCCCCCGGGUUCGUCGGCCGCGACCGGUGUUUGACUGCCCCGCCGCCGCCCAGACGAGCGGUUCUCGCAUUGGAUUUGUAUACUUUUGUUCGUUUUACACCUUUCCAUUUGCCGAAUUUGUGUAGCUGUAUCCCUCCUGUGGUAGCAUUAGUGUAUGGGCCCCACGUACCGCAAAAAAUGUUCUCACUCCCCUCCGUUUCUCCUCCCCCAGGCGAGCAGAGAGGAAAAGACACAGCGUCGUCUCCAUCUCUCGUUCCCCAUCCUUUCUAUUCUCCUGCCGGAGCUUCCCAACCCCAUCAAUCCAGCCAUGGAUCAAGAAAUUAAUUCCAUGGAGGACGGUAAAUAAAAACUCCAGCAUGUUUUUACUUUUUUCUAAAUUCCAAUGUGUUCCACGUACCGGUUACAACGGCCGUAAUCUACUAAUUUCUCUCUCCCGUUCCACCUCGGUCACUUUCCAAAGACAGAAGCGUGCACUUAUAUACACGCAUAAGUUAGGUGAUAGCAAAAGCGUUUCGUGGAUCGGAACGCUGGCGAGAAAGAAUUAGAACAUUGACGAGAUAGCGUAUAACGAUCUUCUUGCUUCUUUAUUAGUUUUUUUUAAUCAGUAACGGAUAAUUGGAUGAGGCUACAAUUUGUGUCGGAUACGAAAGUGAUCGAGUAGAGAUACAUGUUAAGGGGGAAAAUAAUAGCAUGGACCUUUGUUUAUGCAUUUUCAUACGAAAUAAUGAAGAGCACCGCUAGGCGCUAAACAUAGGAAUAUGGUACGGCUGGUUUUUCGUCUACAAAAUUGCAACCACUUCCUUUCUUUGAUCGCAAGAAAAAAGUGGGUUUCAGGGGGUGUUUGUUUCUUUAGUCCCUCCUAAAAUUUCUAUCACAUCAAAUGUUUAGAUACUAAUUAGAAAUAUUAAAUAUAGACUAAUUACAAAACCAACUGCACGGAUGGAGACUAAUUUGCGAGACGAAUCUAUUAAGCCUAAUUAGUUCAUGAUUUGACAAUGUGAUGCUACAGUAAACAUGCGUUAAUGAUAGAUUAAUUAGCUUAAUAGAUUAGUCCUCCUAAUUAGUCUGCAUCUGUGUAAUUAAUUUUAUAAUUAGUUUAUAUUUAAUCUCAUAAUUAGUCUCCGAAUAUUUGAUAAAAAACGCACCAUGUGAAAGGAAUCCUGCCAAGUGUGGAUACUAAGCGAAUUCCAACAUAUUUCAAGGACUUGAACACAAACAAUGCUGGUAUAUAACAAGACCCGGACAGACUUUCCCCCACCAGAACGAGAGAGGAAGAACUCGAAAAAGACAGAAGGCGAAAAUUCGAAGGAAAGAAGAAGAGGAGAACGCGAAGCAAAUGGCGGAGGGCCCGAGCAAGAUGGAAUCCAUGAGGAAGUGGGUCGUCGAGCACAAGCUCCGUGCCGUAGGUACGCCUCGUCAGUUUUCCUGCGGAUUCGUUUUCUUCGCCCGGAUCUAGUUAUUCGGCGUUGGUUUAUGAUGUAUCUCAAAUCCCUACAAUUUCUUUCUGACGUUAUUAGCGGAGUUUCGCAAUUUGGAUUGUGGGAGUCUAUCACGAAAUUAUGACCUAGUUUUUCUGUUUUCCGAGUAUUUUUGGGAAAGUUGUUUUUUUAGAUUAUUUCCCCUACUGGUUGCAAAGUUUUCUGAUUAUUGCGGGAUGUUUGGUUGGAGAAAAGGUUGCCUCUGGCUCACUGGGAUCAGCAGUUCGAUCGCCUACAACUGGUCGCGGCCCAAUAUGAAGCCUAGCGUCAAGAUCAUCCACGCAAGGUUAGUUUAUUUUCUCAUUUUUAUUUCACUCCUUUAACUUUUUGCGCGUUUUUAACUACAGGAUAGCAUGUCUUGUAUUAUCAUAAACAAGAAUACCGCAAUUGAUUUAUUCUUUUCUUAGAUCCAAUAACUUAAUUAGUCUUGAACAUUUCAUAUUUUUAAAACUACUACAAUUAAAAAUGGUUGAUUUUCUUGUCUGCGUCUGAAACUCCGUUUGAGAGCUAAUCUGCAAUAUGAAAAAGCCCGACCAACUUACAUGUUCCUAGACCUACAGGACUACAUCUCCACGGACUUCAUAUGAUUUUUUGGAAGUUUCUGUAAGGCUGGCUUAUUAGGUAUAACAUUGCUCAAUAACUGCUAAGAUUCCAGCCACAGUUAGGUAGGAUGGACUUGGCAUCAGGAUUGUAAGUAAAGAUCGGUGGUCUGGCAAGAAGUUUGAUUUGAUUGUAGAAAAGUCUCUGGUUUCAAUCGUUGUUAACUGUUGGUAGUGGUUAUAAAGUAGGUGGUGACAUUUGGCACAAGCACAAAUGCAGGGAUACCGUGGGUUUGCUGUGCCUGGAGGAAAAUAGUUGGUCUUGAUUCUUUUCAAAUAUACAGCAUUGGUUUAUAAGGUUGUAUGACAGUGUGUAUUUAUAUGGAUUUGGUUUCACAAAUUGGUUUGGGUGCCUGCCUGAUAGUGUUACCUUAUCUCCUGUAGUCCUGUUUUAAGCGUGCAGUCGUACCAUUCAAAAGAAAAGUUAAAGUUUAGUAGCUUCUUGGUUAUUGCAGACCUGUGCUUGAUGAUCUGUUAGGUAUAUACACUGGUAUUUGUCCUUACAUGAUGUAAGGAGUAAUUUAGGCAGCCUCUAGUUUAGUCUUUAAGCUCAUAAGGUUGUAAGAGUACCAAGUUCUCUCUGUUUCCUGCACCUUUAUGCAUUGGCUUAUAUGACCUGUCCACUCCAGCCUAAAAGUAAAAGAACAUCCGCAGAUGCAUUACCCAAUCCCUUGUCAAACUACUUUAGAUUGAACUUUUUAAUGCGUUUUCACACCCUCCUCCAAAGUCCUAAUUUGCUUAUUUCUUCUGAAUGUUCUGUAAGCCUGUCCAAGCCUAACUGCCAAAUUUGGGCGUGUUUACCUAGUUCAGCACAUAAAAUAUCUGAACUGUUGCUAUACCUUUGGCAUUCUGCCAAUAAUAGGAAACUCCUUGCCUUUUUUUUUUGCCAAAAUGGGAUGAAAACAGAUGCUACUUAAUUGAUGGUUCCAAUUUUUGCAAGUUUUUAGGGCCUACCUGCAUAAACAUAAAAACACCCUUAAAACCACUAUGGAUUGAACUUGUACAUUGAUCUUUCUCAUGUUGAAGGAUAGUGUUGUACAAAAUCCUUGAUGAACCUUCUCGCUGUGGCUGUUAAUUGGUGCAACCUUCACCUCAUAUAUUGCAGUAGUCAACAAUGUUGUAAGAUAGGUUAAAUUCAACUGCUAAUCAAUCGCAUGUAAAUGUACCGAAGAUGAUUGUUUUCAACUUUUCAUUCUGUAUCAUCUUUUGCUAUUUAUUUGCCUCUGGCUCUGAGCUCUUUUUAAUUCACAUAUAUAUGGCUUGUACAUGUUGUACUUCAUUGCACCUGCUUCGCUGAUGUUACUUCUCAUAGUGCUCAUUUCAUAACGGGUUCUGCGGUUUUAAAAAGAUAGUGUGCAUGACAAUUUGAUCUUAGAUUGGCGACCUUAGAUUGUGUGCAUGACAAUUUCAUAACAAUUGCUUAGAUUGGCAACCUUUGUUGCACGUAGACUGUAGCCACUGCAUGUAUUACUGAAUAUAGAAAUUGCAGCUGUUUUAAUACACACAGAUUCCAGAUGACUUCACUUGUAUUCAAUUCUAUCAUGCUAUUAUUUGAAAACUCACAAUCCUAACAUCUCAUAAACUGUUGACUUUUGCAGGUUGCAUGCGCAGGCUCUAACCCUUGCUGCAUUGGUUGGUUCUGCAUGUGUGGAGUACUAUGAUAACAAAUAUGGUUCUUCUGGGCCUAAGGUGGACAAGUACACAAGCCAAUACCUGGCACACUCGCAUAAAGAUUAAGAUCUCCAUGUUCAUUCCUGCAUAGCGGAUUAAUUUUGGGCUCAUUUCUGGGUGCUCAACUGCUCAUUAACUAUGUCCCUGGAUGCUGGAUGGUUCUCUUUGCCCCCUUAUUAAUGCAAAAUGACAGUGUACUUGCCAGGGCAUUCCUGGGAAAUGGCAUAGAGGGUGUAAUGGUGAUAUCACCUUCAUAAUUUAGCCUCAGGUUGCAUUAUGCAACAUCACAUUGUGAACCUUCCUUGGAUGUUUUUAUCUUUUUUCCCCAAAGAAAAGCAAAGGAGAGAGAUCCUGGUUUUUGCCGAACUGUUUUGUGUUCUCUGUCUCUUGUUCAUGCGUGCUUGUAUGCUGCUGGCAACGCAAAUCAGAGAUGCUUUUAACGAUGAUUUGUAGUUGUGGAUAUGUACUACUCGCAAAUUACAACUUUAUUAUAAUAAAAUUCAGCCUAUGCUCUAUACAAAAUCAACUCAUUUUGUGGUCCCUUCUUUUGAGAAAUUUUGUGGCGUCUUCCAAAGAAUUGAAACGCUAGAAUUUGUGUGGUCCGUUAAAAUUCUAGGGGAUCAUUGCGCCUGCUCUCCGAUGCACAAUUUAGUUUUUUAAAAAAUAGCCUGCAUAGACGCCGACAGGUGGAGCCCGUCACAUUACGCCUGGUGCGUCAAAACUCGAAGACCCCAACACCUUCCCGGGCGGCGGCGGCGGCGGCGGCUCGAUGCUACCCCGAUGCGGACGCCGGAGACCAUCGGCCCGCUCCUCGCCCGCUACGGUGCGUCGCGGUCGCUGCUCGCGGGGGCGCACCUCCACUCCCACCUCCUCAAGUCUGGCCUCCUCGCCGCCUGCCGCAACCACCUCAUCUCGUUCUACUCCCGAUGCCGCCUUCCGCGCGCCGCGCGCGCGGUGUUCGACGAAAUCCCGGACCCGUGCCAUGUCUCCUGGUCCUCGCUCGUCACCGCCUACUCCAACAACUCCAUGCCCCGGGAGGCGCUCGGGGCGUUCCGGGCCAUGCGCAGCCGCGGCGUCCGGUGCAACGAGUUCGCGCUCCCCGUCGUGCUCAAGUGCGCGCCGGACGCCAGGCUCGGCGCGCAGGUGCACGCGCUGGCGGUGGCCACGGCGCUCGACGGGGACGUCUUCGUCGCCAACGCGCUCGUGGCCAUGUACGGCGGGUUCGGCAUGGUGGACGAGGCCAGGAGGAUGUUCGACGAGUCUGGUGGCGCCAUCAGCAAGGAGAGGAACGCUGUCUCUUGGAACGGCAUGAUGUCGGCGUACGUCAAGAACGACCGGUGUGGGGACGCCAUCGGGGUGUUCCGUGAGAUGGUGUGGAGCGGGGCGCGGCCGAACGAGUUUGGGUUCUCCUGCGUCGUGAAUGCGUGCACGGGGGCCAGGGAUUCGGAAGCCGGGAGGCAGGUGCACGCCAUGGUGGUGAGGAUGGGUUAUGACGAGGAUGUGUUCACAGCAAAUGCGCUGGUCGACAUGUACUCGAAGCUGGGGGACAUUGAUACGGCAGCGGUGGUUUUUGAGAAGAUGCCUGCAGUGGAUGUUGUCUCGUGGAAUGCUUUUAUUUCCGGAUGUGUGAUUCAUGGCCAUGAUCAUCGUGCACUGGAGUUGCUGAUCCAGAUGAAGUCUUCGGGGCUGGUGCCCAAUGUGUAUACAUUGUCUACUAUCCUGAAGGCUUGUGCUGGUGCUGGUGCAUUCAAUUUGGGCCGGCAAAUUCAUGGGUUUAUGAUCAAGGCCGAUGCAGUUUCAGAUGAAUUCAUCGGUGUUGGUCUUGUCGAUAUGUAUGCAAAGGAUGGGUUUUUGGAUGAUGCAAGGAAGGUGUUCAAUUUCAUGCCCCAAAAGAAUUUGAUUUUGUGGAAUGCACUGAUCUCAGGUUGCUCUCAUGAUGGACAAUGUGGCGAGGCGCUGUCACUCUUUCGCAGGAUGAGAAUGGAGGGGCUUGACCUUGAUGUCAAUAGGACAACACUGGCUGCUGUUCUCAAGUCAACAGCGAGCUUGGAGGCAAUCAGUCACACAAGACAGGUCCAUGCUCUUGCAGAGAAGAUAGGGCUCCUAUCUGACUCUCAUGUCAUCAAUGGGCUUAUUGAUUCAUACUGGAAGUGUGACUGCCUCAAUGACGCAGUUAGGGUUUUUGAAGAAAGCUGUCCUGAUGACAUCAUAUCUUCUACAUCCAUGAUAACAGCACUCUCACAGUCUGACCAUGGUGAGGAUGCAAUAAAGCUGUUUGUGCAGAUGCUAAGGAAAGGGCUUGAGCCUGAUUCUUUUGUACUAAGUAGCCUCCUGAAUGCUUGUGCUAGUCUGUCGGCCUAUGAACAAGGAAAGCAAGUGCAUGCUCAUCUGAUCAAGAGGCAGUUCACGUCAGAUGUGUUUGCAGGGAAUGCUCUUGUGUACACCUAUGCAAAAUGUGGGAGCAUAGAGGAUGCAGACAUGGCCUUCUCUGGCCUACCAGAGAGGGGAGUUGUCUCAUGGUCUGCAAUGAUCGGAGGGCUCGCGCAGCAUGGACAAGGGAAGAGAUCGUUGGAAUUGUUCCAUAGAAUGCUUGAUGAGGGCGUUGCCCCAAACCACAUCACUUUGACCAGUGUUCUCUCUGCUUGUAACCAUGCAGGGCUUGUUGAUGAGGCCAAGAAAUACUUUGAGUCAAUGAAGGAGAUGUUUGGAAUUGACAGGACCGAGGAGCAUUACUCGUGCAUGAUUGAUCUUCUUGGCCGUGCAGGGAAAUUAGAGGAUGCGAUGGAGCUUGUCAACAACAUGCCAUUCGAAGCUAAUGCUGCAGUUUGGGGUGCACUCUUAGGAGCCUCAAGAGUUCACCAAGAUCCCGAGCUGGGAAGGUUAGCAGCUGAAAAGCUCUUCACUCUAGAGCCAGAGAAGUCUGGCACACAUGUCCUGCUUGCAAACACUUAUGCUUCAGCAGGCAUGUGGGAUGAGGUGGCUAAGGUGCGGAAGCUAAUGAAAGAAAGUAACCUCAAGAAGGAGCCUGCUAUGAGCUGGGUUGAGAUGAAGGACAAGGUGCAUACUUUCAUUGUCGGUGACAAGAGCCAUCCAAAGGCAAAGGAGAUAUAUGGUAAGCUAGAUGAACUGGGAGAUCUGAUGAACAAAGCUGGUUAUGUUCCAAAUGUGGAGGUCGAUCUGCAUGACGUAGACAAAAGCGAAAAGGAACUGCUGCUUUCUCACCACAGCGAGAGGUUGGCUGUCGCUUUUGCAUUGAUCAGCACUCCAGCUGGAGCCCCAAUCAGAGUCAAGAAGAAUCUGCGCAUAUGCAGAGAUUGCCAUGUUGCCUUCAAGUUCAUUUCAAAGAUCGUAUCAAGGGAGAUUAUCAUCAGAGAUAUCAAUCGGUUCCAUCAUUUCAGAGACGGGACAUGUUCUUGCGGUGAUUAUUGGUGAAAAUGGUUUUGUCAGAUGAUAAUUUUGUUGCUUGUUGAGAAUUCUGAUGGUUAGAGCAGUUACAUGCCUUCAUGGAGGCUUAUAGUUUCACAAGAUUUUGUAGCCAGUCAGCUGAGUGAUGCAAUGCAAUUUUUUUGUUGACAUACCCGCAGCCAUGCAUUUUGCAGUUGAAUCUGCACUUUGUAACAUAAAAAUGUUCCUCAUGUACACUGCUUUUUAAGCAUUCUUAUUCAUUUUUUUAUGGAUACAGCAAAAGGGGAGAAAACUUCAGUCGCUUGCUCUUCCCUAAGUAUUUGAUCCAGCUAUUGGCCAACUCUUCUGUGCGUGUAAUGUGUUUCUAGGGGAAAAUGACAACCGUUAUGUCAAUUAAAAGGAUUUGCACAUUGAGAAGGAACUUAUAUUUUCUUGAUCUUGUUAAAGGUAGACCCUGUUGUUCUAGAUUAUUACUUUUUUUUUGCCUCUUGAAUUGUGGAACUCAUCAGGUAAGCUACUUGUCUCAGCUUUUCAUGCUGAUGCAGUCAUUAUCCAGAAUUGAUGGCAUGGUACAAACUUGUUAUAAGAAGUCUUAUAAGUGUUGAUUGUAAACUCUUCCUGCUGUUUAUUCUAGAUUGUGGUAUAAUUCGUACCAAACAUCUGCAUAUAUUAAAUUAGCUCAGCAAUUUGGGCCUGCAUAAAAAGUUAAUAGCUGACUGGUAGGGUUUUUUUAUCCGCCCCAAACAUCCAGGAGUAGCAUCUGUUUGCUUGUUCAUGUUGAAUUGAACUACAGAUUUUUCGUUAUAUUCUUAGAAUUGUGUUUGUAUCAACAUUAGUCUCUAAAUAUCUGUUUUAGUUAUAAUCUAUAACACAGCUGCACAUUAUGCAAUAUCCCCUGAGGCCAAUGUUGGCGCCCAUAGAGUUAAAUGAGAUAUGUGAAAAGGUACACCCCCAAUUAACUGCAUAUGUUCUAGUGUUGUGGGGAAUUUCUUUUAUUUAACAUAUAUUUAUCUUAAUUAGCUAAAGGAUUAUGAGUAUAACAGGUUCGAGUUGGAAGUUGAUUUGAGUGUCAAUACACAGUGAAAAUUAUGACCAUGAAGCACCUUUGAGACUGACAAAGUAGGUGAGUCUUUUUAAUCUUGCAAAAUCACAUGACCCACUAUUUUAAUGUACAUAUCAAUAUCAGCUCAGUGAUACCCUUUGGCAGAGUUGAAUUUGUGUUCGCUGCUGCCUUGUUGAUUAAUUCUGAUCAGUGUCAAUAAAAUUAUCAUAUUUUUAUGUUUAAUGUUUGGCAAUUGCAUGGUUGUCAUUUUCUUGACGAACCUUAGAUUGUUCUUAGUUGCGUGAUGGUUGCUUUACUUGAUAUGCAUUUGUUCUUUACUAAGAACUUGAUAUUCUUCCUUCCGUAUUAUGUUUUUACUGGUUAGUUUGUCCCCUGCUCUUUGUGGUCGUUGCGAUUGAUUAUGAAUUUUCUUAUUAGUUGCGUGCACCAAUCAGUUCAACUUAAAAGUUUAAACUGAUGAGAAGAGGUCUCCAACAUUUAUACAAAAUAACAUCUAACUGUUGGGUGUUUGUUUUACUAUCGUGUAAUCUCCGGUUGGUUCAAUGAGUAUGCCAGCAUUUAGAUCCGGUUGUAUCUAAGGCUCUGUUUGGCAUGGCUCCAACUCUGCGUAGAGCUGCUCUACUCCAGAACUCUAGGUAGAGCUAGCUUUGGGUGGAGUUGAAGCGGUUUAGAUGGGGUGUUUGGCCAGAAGAGUGCUCUCAGCUUCAAAAAAGAUCGAUUUCGGUGUGGAUUGCCAUUGUUGCCCCCCAAUUUAGGUCCCACUUGUCAUCCUCUCUAUCCCCAUCUUCUUCUUCCUCAGAAGACGCGGGUAGGGGUCGGGCGGCCGGCAGCGGCGGGGUGCAGACGCGCGGGAGCUGUGUCUCAGGGCAGUGGCCUGGUCCAGCGGUGGAGGAGCCCCGCCCAGGCGAGAUAGGGGCGGCGGGCUAGUGGGGCACGUGCUCGUACCGGCGGGGUGGGCGGACGGCGGGGUCCGCAGCGGGGUGAGCAGAAGGUGGGGCAGCUGCGGACGGUGGACAGCAACAGGGGUCGGGCGGCCGGCGGCGGUCAGGAGGGGUAGCAGGAGGGGUCGCCCCGCGGUGCGUUGAUGGGUGGCAGGGGAGGAAGACGACGGCCGAUGGCAAGGGAGGAAGACAGGCGAGCGGGAGGGAGUCAGGGGGGAAGGCUCGCGAGAAAAGAAAGAAACCAUUUUUUGUGUAACCAUUGGUAUUGGUGGGUAAUUACUCACCAACUCCACAAGGAGGUUCAUAUUGGGUGGUUUUAUAGCUGCAAAAGAGGUGCUCCAAAACUCCACCUCUAUUUGCACUACAGCUCCAUGGAAUUUUGGAGCUGGGGUGUUUGGUUAGAAAAUUUGCUGGAGUUGCUAAGUUCAGCUCCAGAGCUAUGCCAAACACACCCUUAGAGUUAGAGAUAAAGAUUAGUUGUGUUCUUUGUAGAGAGAACCCACAUGUUAAUGGUAGAUCCUUUACAUUGCAAAACACUGGAUAAGAAUAAUUUUUCAUUGUAUUAUAAAAAGGUAUCGAUUCGAUCUCACAUCCACUUUAUCCUAAACACUAAUUAAUACUCCGUUUCAAAAAUUGUUGGUCGUUUUGACAUUUCUAGGUGUAUAAUUUUUAUACAUCUAAAUAUAGUCUAUGUCUAGAUGCAUAAUACUCAUCCAUCCCAAAUUAUAAGUCAUUCCAAGAAUCUUGGAGAGUCAAAGUAUCUCAAGUUUGACUAAAUUUAUAUGAUAAUAUAAUAACAUUUAUGAUGUCAUCUAAGUAUCAUUAGAUUCUUCAUCAAUUAUAUUUUUAUAGUAUACCUAUUUGAUGUCAUAAAUCUUUAUAAUUUUCUCUAUAAUUUUGGUCAAACUUGAGAUGCUUUGACUCUCCAAGAUUCUUGAAAUGACUUAUAAUUUGGGAUGGAGGGAGUAAUAUUUAUGAACUUAUAAAAGCUAAAACAAUCUACAGAGGGAUUAAAAGAAUAGAUAUAAGUGUAUGUGUUUUCCUUCAUUUUCCACUCAAAUCCUAUCAAAAAAAUAUUACUAAUCUAUGAGCCACUUUUAUACUUUUUUUGCGAGUAACCACUUUGACACUUAGUAUUCCUAUUUUUAGAAACUGCACCUUGGAACAAAAAAGAAGGUAUACAUUGUAGGCUAUAGGUUCUGGAUUAAGUUAAUAAUAAAAUAGACAUAAUUUGCAAGAAACGGUCUUUCGUGUGUCUAUAUAUAUAUGCUCUGCGGUCUUUCGUAGAUAUACAUAUGCUCUGCCGCCCUAGCUAAACUCACCGAUAGCCGAUCAUGCAGCCAGAUACCAAUAGCAGCAAAAAGUUAUUGUUGUCGAAUAAUAUUUACACGAGCUAAAGCCAGCCCACAAGUCCUGCAUUCCGGCAAAACUUAGCGACAACUUGUAGAACUAUUCUUUUACAGAAGGAUGAAAGGGAGGUUCCUCCGUGUAUCUAAGCACCGGGAAGAAUAUGAACUACAAUCUAUUGUUCACAGUUGAGAGGUUAUACUGAUACACAAAGAGGUAGAAGCACACAUCCAAGAAUCCUUUACAAGUAACACUUAGUUGCCUAAGUCUUCCUAGCUUUGCUUCGUUUGCUGUGGGUUGGCUCUUGAAUCCAGCCUUCUCAAUCUGAUAUUGCGAACAAUAGCAGCUUGCUUCUGGCGAUGACUGUAGCUUUUCCUUUUGCUGCACAGAUAAAUGAAAAUUUGAGCUUUCAAAGAAAAGUAGUGGCACCAAUUGCAAGCUUCCAAUCUUCCAUCUUAGCAGGAAUCAAUUCAACACACCCUGCAAGAUUGUAGCAAGAAAAGGGGACAAAACUCGAAGUGUUGCACUUUCCAUAGGGUUUGGCUGGAGCUUCAGCGCUCCAUGAACUACUCCAUCGGCCACUCAUCCCGGAUUCGUAGUCUGAGGUUUGGGUUGUGGCCGUUUCUUAAAUGUUAAUGUUUGUGACACGUCUGUAACUGGUUAAGUUUUGUGUGUGUGUGGGAGCGGGCAAUUUGCCUCUCCUGUGUAUUAUUUUUCCUCCUCUUAAUGCAAUGACAUGCAGAUCUCUUGUGUUGUUCGAGAAAAAGAAUUGUUCCAUUCAUCUUCUAUAUGCUUAUGCAGUGCCUAUUCCAAAAAUACAAAACAUACUUUUUCCAAACAGGACUACAGGAACUAAUUAUGCAGAUAAUUUACUACCCCUUCAUAAAGAAUAUGAAAGAGAAGGAAAUAUGAAAGACCUGAUAAAAAUGAGGCCCGCGGUGAGGACCAUUCCUCCAAUUGCCCAUGAAAUUCUUUCACCGACAGGCAUAUCUCUUGCCCAUCUCUGGAAAUCUUGAACAUUCCAAGAAGCCACACCGCUUAAUGUUGGACGGUCUUUUGAAGAAGUCCAUGAAUCAGAGAUGGAAUCCAAACUCGCUUUACCACCAUAGCAGAAAGUGUCAUCAACUAAACCAGAGUUGGUCUCAGAAACUUGCACAGAGAAACCAGCAAGAUGACAUAACUCUGUGCCAUUAGAAACCCAUUUAUGUGCUUUGCCACAAAGGAUGUCACCUAAACCACAAGGAGAUAAGGCCUGACAAAAGAAGUAAGGAUAACUUUUCAGAACCAAACUGUGAAAUCAUAACCAACAAAAAGAUCACAAGGUGUUAAGGCUAAGAAUUUCCUACGUACUGAGGAUUAUUCAAGAAGAAAAGGGAAAUUUCACAGAAUCAAUAGCUAUUCAGAAUGUAUAGAACAGACAUGGGUUAGAACAUGACUGUUUAUUGUAGGAUCUAACCAUAAAAAUACCAAGCUUAAUCUAGCAAUGACACUUGGAUUUUGUAUGACAUUACAUGAUUGAGGUAUCAGUACCCACUACCCAAUUGUAUCAUUGAUCUCUAAUCAGAGGGUCUUUAGUCUUACCUGUGUUUUCAUAUCCACGGAGAAGUACGAUUCUGAACAAGCUUUGAAGACCAUAUCACAGAAUGACGCACAUACAACAGGAGGUCCAGGCCUGACACCCACGCGUGGAUCACAUAUUGAGCAUUCAAGCAAUUCCCACAAAUGGAUACAUUCUUGACCGCCUUCACCAGUUAAUGCAAGGUUCCUCACAGAGACCAGAGCAGGAAAUGUCUGAGUCACAUCGCAACAUGUAUUCUGACGGAAUAUCCUACACAGUGCUAGAUCUCUGCGCCCCUUCGGUGCCCUUCCAGGAGGCUUGCCUUCAGAUGAAAAGGCAGGAAAUCGUCCACCAGGUGAAACACAUACACCUUUUGGUUGUCCUGUGGAGAAAAAGUAUGUGAUAUAAAUCAUUAGAGUAACGCUCCCAUAGUAUUCAUUUACUGAGGAAUCAGCCAUGGUAACUACAAGCGAUUCUAUCUUAACUAGGAUCAUUUGAUAUCAACCACAAUAUUCAUAUAUAACUAAGCGAAUCAAAGAUACUGCUUGGCAUGCGGUAGCAUAAGCAUUGCUCAUCAGUGUAAGUGUUACAAGCAGCAGUAUUAUCAUAAAUCCGAAUUAUAUGGCAGUAAGGUAAACACAGCCAGUAAUGCAGCUUAACUUAAUUCAUAACUCAUCUAACAGUUUCUUUCAAAAACUGUCCUCUGCAGUAUAAAAUCUGAAAGUUCGCAAAAUGCAGACAGUAAAUUCAGAGUGAUGAGGCCUAAAGUACGCACACGUAGCCAUUUCUAAAUUACCGUCCCUUCUUCGCUAUACAUACAUUUAGCAAAAUCUACACUGCUUACACAAUUCGAGCGACCAAGCACACACCAGCAAGGAUCCAUACAAAGGCGCGACAAGAAUAUCUAGCGCCAUGCACGUAAACUUAGAAAAAACACUUCCCCUCCACAGCUCAAGUAAACGGAACCAAAUAAAACAAAAACUAUAAAUGAGAUCUCGAGUACUCCCAGGCGAGGCGACUGGUCGUACCAGCUGACGCGACCGGCGAGAAGAAGAGCAGCGCCAGGAGGAAGGCGAAGCUGGCCGCGGGUGGCGGGCGCGUCGAAUACCCCAUCGGAAGCCGCCUGCCCGCCCCGCCGGCGGGGUGCUCGCGGCAGCCGGGGGAGGUCGGCGCGGCGGAUGGGGAUAGGCGGUCGACGAAUCGAUGCGCUUCCCGGCGUCUGCGACUCUGGAGUCUGGACCAUACAAGUCAACAAGGCUCCUCGCCUCCUCGUCAAGAAAUGGGCCGGACGCGACGCGAGGCCCAACAUAAGAACACGGCCCGGUUUCGCUUCCAGAACUCCCAGGUUGCCGCUCGCCCGCAGCCGCGCGGCGUUUGUUGGAGAGGCAACGCAUUAGUCCCGCAUCGCUUGGCGAGAGCGGAGCGCGGAGAGGGAGAGCUACAAAAGGAGGGGCAGGGCACCUGACCAACUCAUACCUUUCUCGGCCUUUUGGCUAAGAUCAAGUGUAGUAUCUGUUCUUAUCAGUUUAAUAUCUGAUAUGUGGGCCAUGUGCCCACUUCGAUAUUAAAUUUAUUUUUUGUGGGGGAGGGUCCACCACAGUGGCUUGCCACUGGGGUCCUCGAGCGUCGCCCAGCCGUUGCACUGCUGGCAGGGCCUGGCGCACCCCAACCAAAGAAAAUUAAAAUUUUUUUAUGUUUAUUUGGGCCGCUGGUCUCUAUUUUGGCUGAGGCCUUUUUCUUGGGCCUGAAUGUCGUCAACACAUGUGCCCUGCUAUUUGAAAAAUCGAAAACAAUUAUUAAUUCUGGUCAAGCACGAUUUUCCAAUACAUCUUCUGUUUAGCUGCAUGAUCUAAGGGCAACCUAAUAUUUCAUGGGUGAAUUCAACCUGGCGCUUUAUCGCAGGUCAACUUUUAUUUAACUUUUCUUAAAUAAGGGUCGCAGUUCAACCUUUUUUUAUAUAAGGGUCUCAGCGUUUUAUCGCAGCUCUAAUCUGAAAUCAGUAAGAGCAGCUCUUCACAAAAAAUUCUUCCUCAAAACGAGAUAUUGGGGUUAUACUAAAAACACAAUAGAACUCUAAAAACUACCUCCAAUAAUUCAAAACAGGCCACGUCAUCGUAUCGGGUCCAUUAGAAUUCGUUGCUUUUUUUCCCACCACCGUGACCUCCAUGGCGUGGUCCUUGCAGGCGGUGAACUGCUGGGCGAGCACCCACUGCGCGUCAUCGUCGCCUCCGUCGCCAUUGCGGUAGCGGUGCAGGGUCCCCACGUACUCCGACGGGAGGUGGUUGCCGAUGGAGAAGCCGAACGCGGGGAUCCAGCGACGGGAGGUGGACACCGCGGCGCGGGAGUCGCCGACACGGGAGAGGAUGACGAUGAGGAGCUCGUCGGGGAGGGCGCAGAGCCAGUCAGCAUGGUCGCCGCAGCAGGACCCGUCGGAGAGGCGGCGCUGACCAGGGGAAAAAACACGCGCGGAGGGGGGCGGGGUGGGAUCGGGGAAGACCGGGGUGUCGCGAAUAUUUGCAGGACGAGAGCUGUUUUUUCGCGUCGAAUCUUAUAGGGAGUUUUAGUGGACUGUUGGAGUUCUUUUUUCUUUUUUUUUCUAAAAAAAGGUAUUGGGGGUAAGAUUAGCAGCUUUUUGGAGUUGCUCUAAUGCUACUAAUCUUACGUCCACGCGUCCAACUCCACACCACACAUAUAUCCUUUUAUCCUUCCGCUCAUUUUUCUAGACCGGCUUCUCCAUGUUUGAUCCUCCAUGCACAUCGCUUGCUUGCAGCCCAAGCUUUCCCUAUGUCGCGCCUCCCUAAUCGCUGCCGGUGCCGGCGCUCUCAGCUCCCUCCCCUAUGCUACCCCUACUUCCCCGCCGUCAUCCCUGCCCCAAAUCAUAGAAGAGGCCACCAGGUCCUGCUCCAAGGGGCGAGCUGUGCCGGCCAUCGGAGGAGCUACUCUGCCCGCAAUGGGCUUAGCCGUCGGAGGAGCUCCACGGGGAAGGGUGCUGAGCGCCGCUGCCUCGCGACCAUAGGUGAGCCGCGCCGGCCGCUGCCUUCCUCCUCCUCCACCACCAUUUCCUAGCAUCGGAUCCUGCUAUACAGUGCUCCUCCUACUAGGGUUUACUACAUGUUGCAAAAGUAUAUUUUAAGUGUUUCAGAUGUUUUAGAAGAAUGUUGCAAGUGUUUUAUGUGGAUGUUGCAAAGUACAUCUAGAUGUUGCGAUGUUGCAUAUGUUUCACACACAUGUUGCAAGUGUUUUAUCUGGAUGUUACAUUUUUAACGAGAUAUUUGAAUGUUCCAUGCAACACGAAACAGAUGU
rnacentral:lncRNA from 1 species